rnacentral:ncRNA from 1 species
UACAGGUGUCCAGCCCUGCCGCUGGAAGAAUAGGGAAACGGGUGCAAUUCCCGUGCGGGACCGCCGCCGUAAGGGGUAGUACCAGGAACCCGUCACUGCUUACACGGUAAGCGGGAAGACCUCCUGGACACACCACUCCCCAAGCCGGAAGACCUGCCUGUAACC